rnacentral:ncRNA from 1 species
AAUGGGAGGCGUCGACCUUCGAUCUGUAUUGCGGUCACCAGGGAUCGAAGUGAGCUAGUGGUGAGACCGGCCCGCCC